rnacentral:tRNA from 1 species
AGCGGAGUGGGGAAGUCUGGUAUCCCGCGAGGCCCAUAACCUCGAGGCCACUGGUUCAAAUCCAGUCUCCGCAACAA